UGCAGACUCUCUUGAAAUAUAUUAAGGAGAAUAACCCUGACAAACUUUCUAUAGCACUUGCUUCAUCACUUGACACUGUUGCUGAAUUGGAGCUGUUACAGGCUCCUGGUCUGUCCUUUCUCCUGCCUCAACAGUAUAUAGAAUAU